GAUGAAGAACGCAGUGAAAUGCGAUACUUGGUGUAAAUUGCAGAAUCCCGUGAACCAUCGAGUCUUUGAACGCAAGUUGCGCCUCAAGCCAUUAGGUUGAGGGCACGUCUGCCUGGGCGUCACAUAUCGUUGCCUGAUGCCAGUUUCCUCGUGAUGGGUGACUGUGCAGGGCGAAUGAUGGCUUCCCGUGAGCAUUGUUGCCUCAUGGUUGGUUGAAAAUUGAGUCCUUGGUAGGGAGCGCCGUGAUAGAUGGUGGUUGAGUGACGAACGAGACCCAAUCAUGUGAGACCCCUACCGAAUUUGGCCUUCAUGACCCACAUGCGUCUUUGGAACGCUCAUGACGAGACCUCAGGUCAGGCGGGGCUACCCGCUGAGUUUAAGCAUAUCAAUAAGCGGAGGA
rnacentral:misc_RNA from 1 species